AUUAUUUUUAUUUAACAGUCAGACAUACAUACAAACAAACCAACAUAGUGCAGUAGUGAGCAAUCUUGUAAAUCUAUAAUUCCAGCAGUGACAACUUAAGAGUGAUUUAAGUGUUUGAUCUAAGUGUGAAUGUGAGCGGGUGUGAGUGUGGGUAUGUGUAUGCGUAAACAAAGUACACUCUCUUUUGUACCUAAAGGAUGCAUAUUGGUACCUUAAUGGUACCAUGAAGGUACCAAUAUGCACCCUUUAGGUACUGUUGUGAAUUUGAUCCUUUAAUUAUACCUUUUAUUUAUUUAUUUUUCUUUCUCCUUACAUAUUUGCACUUCAUAUCCCACAAUCCUUUUGUCAGUUUCACUACAUUACCCAUACACCCCCUGGGCAAGGUCUAUAAGUAGACCUCACUUCCUCCCCUUUUUUCUUUUGUAUUGGUGAGGUUUGGCGGUUGGAAUGGACACCCAACCAUGUCCUUUCCUUAGGAUGCGUUGAUGACUAAAGACCAUCUUGUACAUCCUGUUUAUCCUGUCCAUCCAUUAACAUCUGUUCAUUGGCAUCAUGUGUGUCAGCUCCAUGUGAAUUAAGACUUUAUCAUCCUGAACUGAAAAUAAAAGAGAGCAAAGGACUG